rnacentral:rRNA from 1 species
AGAUCUUGACAUCCCGGUGACAGUCCUCAUAAAAGGGAUUUCUUUUAGACACCGGUGACAGGUGGUGCAUGGUUGUCGUCAGCUCGUGUCGUGAGAUGUUGGGUUAAGUCCCGCAACGAGCGCAACCCCUGUCUUUAGUAGCCAGCAUUUCGGAUGGGCACUCUAGAGAGACUGCCGGGGACAACCCGGAGGAAGGUGGGGAUGACGUCAAAUCAUCAUGCCCCUUAUGAUCUGGGCUACACACGUGCUACAAUGGCGUAAACAAAGGGAAGCGAACCCGCGAGGGCAGGCAAAUCCCAAAAAUAACGUCCCAGUUCGGAUUGCAGUCUGCAACUCGACUGCAUGAAGCUGGAAUCGCUAGUAAUCGCGAAUCAGAAUGUCGCGGUGAAUACGUUCCCGGGUC